rnacentral:rRNA from 1 species
AAACUCAAAUGAAUUGACGGGGGCCCGCACAAGCGGNGGAGCAUGUGGUUUAAUUCGAUGCAACGCGAAGAACCUUACCUGGCCUUGACAUCCAGAGAACUUAGCAGAGAUGCUUUGGUGCCUUCGGGAACUCUGAGACAGGUGCUGCAUGGCUGUCGUCAGCUCGUGUUGUGAAAUGUUGGGUUAAGUCCCGCAACGAGCGCAACCCUUAUCCUUUGUUGCCAGCGGUUCGGCCGGGAACUCAAAGGAGACUGCCGGUGAUAAACCGGAGGAAGGUGGGGAUGACGUCAAGUCAUCAUGGCCCUUACGGCCAGGGCUACACACGUGCUACAAUGGCGCAUACAAAGAGAAGCGACCUCGCGAGAGCAAGCGGACCUCAUAAAGUGCGUCGUAGUCCGGAUUGGAGUCUGCAACUCGACUCCAUGAAGUCGGAAUCGCUAGUAAUCGUAGAUCAGAAUGCUACGGUGAAUACGUUCCCGGGCCUUGUACACACCGCCCGUCACACCAUGGGAGUGGGUUGCAAAAGAAGUAGGUAGCUUAACCUUCGGGAGGGCGCUUACCACUU